GCAAAAGAUGUCCAUAUAGAUAUUAGCUAUUUAUUUUGUGGCAAGUUUGGACAUUGGGAGUAUAAUUGUAAGAAUAAUCUUGCAAGUUUGAAGUAGGGUGCAAGUACAGCACCAAAAGGUAUGUAUAUGAUACAAAUCUAUUUUUUAUUGAGUGGCUCAGACUCUGAUACUUGAAUAUUAGAUACCACCUGUGGAUCACAUAUUUGUAAUUCAUUAUAGCGAAUACAGAAUAUCAAAGGUCUGAAAAGAGGUGACCUCGAGCUCUAUGGCACA
rnacentral:lncRNA from 1 species